rnacentral:misc_RNA from 1 species
UUUCCGUAGGUGAACCUGCGGAAGGAUCAUUAAAAAUGAAGCCGGGAAACCGGUCCUUCUAACCCUUGAUUAUCUUAAUUUGUUGCUUUGGUGGGCCGCGCAAGCACCGGCUUCGGCUGGAUCGUGCCCGCCAGAGGACACAACUCUGUAUCAAACGUCGUCUGAGUACUAUAAAAUAGUUAAAACUUUCAACAACGGAUCUCUGGGUCUGGCAUCGGAGAAGAACGGAACAAGACCGAAGGGCACACCUCCGGAACCCAGUCAACCUUCGUCAAUCCC